rnacentral:lncRNA from 1 species
CAAUCCAUAUUGUUGUUGAUUUUAAUAAUAUUCUUCUUAUUAUUAUUGUCAUAUUGUGGAAAUAUUCCAUUGAAGGAAUUCAUGUUAUUUUAAUGCAAAAAAAAAUCUGUAAUUUGAGUGCUGCAAGCAGAAAGGCUGAGGUCUAUCUUCAUACUCGAUAACUGUAUGCAAUCAUAUUGUAGCUCUUUGACAUCUUAUCCUUUUAUGACCAAAUACACACCGUGUUAAACCCACUAUGCCACCAAGAAUGACCUUCAUGUAUUCAUUGAUUUUUCUUCUGUUUUUUGCUGUUGCUCAAAAUCGUGGAGAAACGUAGCUGACAACAAAAAAAAAAAAACAUACUUGAAUCUAUUCAGUAAAUCAAAUUAAUAAAUACAUUUUACUGUAGUAGUCGGAAAAGCGACACGAUUUUUUUGUUAGAAUUUUAACUUUGUUAUCAGAAUGACUUGUUUCUCCACAGUGGUAAUAGUAAUGACCUGGUGGUAUUACCAUUACAUGUGUGUCUUAAUGAGCAGGUCGGAUUUAUCCUAGCCUAGAGGUCAGACGGCUAAGGAAGUUAUCAUUCUCUGAAUCUCAAACCAACCCCUAGGCCUAGGGGAUAGGGUUAGGGGAUAAGGAUAGGGAAUAAGGAUGGGGGAUAAGGAUAGGGGAUAGGGCUAGGGGAUAAGGAUAGGGAAUAAGGAUAGGGGAUAAGGAUAGGGGAUAGGGAUAGGGGAUAGGGCUAGGGGAUAGGGCUAGGGGAUAAGGAUAGGGGAUAAGGAUAGGGGAUAGGGCUAGGGGAUAAGGAUAGGGGAUAGGGCUAGGGGAUAAGGAUAGGGGAUAAGGAUAGGGCUAGGGGAUAGGACUAGUGGACAUGGGAUAGGGGUUAGGGCAAGAGGAUAGGGCUAGGGAAUAGGACUAGGGGCUAGGGGAUAGGGGAUAGGACUAGGGGAUAGGGGUUAGGGCUAGGGCAUAGGGGUUAGGGCUAGGGGAUAGGACUAGGGGAUGGGGAUAGGGGUUAGGGGAUAUGGUUAGGGGAUAUGGUUAGGGAGUAGGGCUAGGGGUUAGGACUGGGGAUAGGGGUUAGGACUAGGGGAUAGGGGUUAGGACUAGGGGAUAGGGGUUAGGACUAGGGGAUAGGGGUUAGGGCUAGGGCAUAGGGGUUAGGGCUAGGGGAUAGGGGAUAGGGUUAGGGUUAGAGGAUAGGGGUUAGGGCUAGAGGAUAGGACUUGUGGACAGGGCUAGGGAAUAGGGCUUGGGGGUAGGGGUUAGGGCUAGAGGAUAGGGCUGGGGAAUAGGACUAGGGGCUAGGGGAUAGGGGAUAGGACUAGGGGAUAUGGGUUAAGGCUAGAGGAUAUGGGUUAGGGCUAGGGGAUAGGACUAGGGGAUAGGGCUUGGGGAUAGGGGUUAGGGGAUAUGGUUAGGGAGUAGGGCUAGGGGUUAGGACUGGGGAUAGGGGUUAGGACUAGGGGAUAGGGCUAGGGGACUAGGGGUUAGGGGUAGGGGACUAGAGGAUAGGGGUUAGGGCUAGGGGAUAGGGGUUAGGGCUAGAGGAUAGGGGUUAGGGCUAGGGGAUAGGGGUUAGGACUAGGGGAUAGGGGUUAGGACUAGGGGAUAGGGGUUAGGGCUAGAGGAUAAGGGUUAGGGCUAGGGGAUAGGGGUUAGGGCUAGGGGAUAGGGGUUAGGGCUAGGGGAUAGGGGUUAGGACUAGGGGAUAGGGGUUAGGACUAGGGGAUAGGGGUUAGGGCUAGAGGAUAGGGGUUAGGGCUAGGGGAUAGGGGUUAGGGCUAGAGGAUAGGGGUUAGGGCUAGGGGUUAGGGCUAGGGGAUAGGGGAUAGGGAUAUGGAUAGGGGGUAGGGAUAGGGGAUAGGAAUAGUAGACCUAGGACCCCCUGCCAUGAUCAGAGAUCAGAUACUAUGUCCCCAAUGGCACCUUAUUCCCUAUAUAGUGCACUACUUUUGACCAGUGGUGCACUAUAUAAAGGGAAUAGGGUUCUAUAGGGCCCUGGUCAUAAGUAGUGCACUAUAUAGGGAAUAGGGUUCCAUAGGGCUCUGGUCUAAAGUAGUGCACUAUAUAAAGGGAAUAGGGUUCUAUAGGGCCCUGGUCAUAAGUAGUGCACUAUAUAGGGAAUAGGGUUCCAUAGGGUUUUGGUCUAAAGUAGUGCACUAUAUAGGGAAUAGGGUUCUAUAGGGCCCUGGUCUAAAGUAGUGCACUAUAUAGGGAAUAGGGUUCCAUAGGGUUUUGGUCUAAAGUAGUGCACUAUAUAGGGAAUAGGGUGCCAUUUGGAAGGCAGAGAGACAAAAGGCCUGUUGUAUGUGAUCAUAGCUUUAAGUUAUUUUAUUCAUGUUGUUUAUUCCUCAAACAUUCCAACUGCCAACUCAUCUCGUAUGAUAAUAUCAUUGUUGUUACAAAUGCUUGUUAUUAUUGUGUUUUUGUUAUUGUUGUUUUGUUAUUGUUUACCCUUUUUGUUCUAUGAUUUUCCUUGUCUUUACGGUUUUAAUCUUGAACAUGUUGAACAAUGAAGUAAUUUUCAUUUUAUUUGAUCAGCUGUGAAUUUGUACUGACUGUGUCGAUCUGGUCGAUUUGGUUGUGUGUGUGUGUGUGUGUGUGUGUGUGUGUGUGUGUGUGUGUGUGUGUGUGUGUGUGUG